GUCCUGGGCAAGAGGUCAGGCAAGUGCAAGGUGGCAGAGGAGUGGACCUUCAGCGACUGCACCAGUGCUGGACUGGAAGUGCUGCAUUGAAAAAAAAAUCUUCACUUAAAAAGCCCACUUCAGGGUCCCCCGCUCCGUGUAUUUGACAAGCUGAGUUCGACACUCAGUCUGAUAGAGUGUCAGUUUGUCAAAUACCCCAAGCGAGGGGCUCCAUGACAACCGGCAGGUGGCUGAAGUGCAAAAGAGGGCCCCCCACCACAGAGGACAAGUCCAGAAAUAGGAACAACAGAGCUGCUGUGCAAAAGGUCUAGUGGCAAGAGCAGAGGGGCAGAAGAGUGUAAGCACAUAUCCAAUGUGUCGCCAUUGUGCCAAAGAGACGAUUGGAUCGGCAUCAAGAAAUGGAGUAACAUGAAAGAAUUGCAAGCGUAAGUGAAAGUCAUGAGAAAUGUUUUUAAAGAAUAAAAAUCAUUUGUUGGCUUCAAUUGAUGUAUGCACAGAGGCAUUGCCUUCUGUAUGAAUGUAUGUACUGUCAGUAUUAACUUUCUCUUUACUCAGUGACGGGAUUCUGCCCAUAUGUGAUUGUAAGGGCUUUUAUGUUUCAGAUAUGAGAGGUUUGCCUGGUGAGCAGAAGGCAGCAAACCCCACUGCUUCAUCAUCCAGACAUACAUGCGGGUAGCACUCUAUCUAUCUAUCUAUCUAUCUAUCUAUCUAUCUAUCUAUCUAUCUAUCUAUCUAUCUAUCUAUCUAUCUAUCUAUCUAUCUAUCUAUCUAUCAUUAUGGGUACUCAAGGGUUUUUGUAAAUAUACAGUUCACUGUUUCAGGAGACCAUUAUUAUUGUGUCUCUUUCUUCCACCCUCAGCACUUUUAUCCUUACCCGAUGGCUUCUAUAAACUAAAUGUCUUAUUUGUUAGUGUCCACCCUGUUUCUAAAGCCUACUCCUAUACUCUGUUCAGGACGGACUAAGCCCAGAGUGCAGAGGAGUGAGAUGGACGCACAUCUGGUUAAAAAAAAAAA